rnacentral:rRNA from 1 species
GAUGAACGCUGGCGGCGUGCCUAAUACAUGCAAGUCGAGCGAACAGAUGAGGAGCUUGCUCCUCUGACGUUAGCGGCGGACGGGUGAGUAACACGUGGAUAACCUACCUAUAAGACUGGGAUAACUUCGGGAAACCGGAGCUAAUACCGGAUAAUAUAUUGAACCGCAUGGUUCAAUAGUGAAAGACGGUUUUGCUGUCACUUAUAGAUGGAUCCGCGCCGCAUUAGCUAGUUGGUAAGGUAACGGCUUACCAAGGCAACGAUGCGUAGCCGACCUGAGGGGGUGAUCGGCCACACUGGAAGUGAGACACGGUCCAGACUCCUACGAGAGGCAGCAGUAGGGAAUCGUCCGCAAUGGGCGAAAGCCUGACGGAGCAACGCCGCGUGAGUGAUGAAGGUCUUCGGAUCGUAAAACUCUGUUAUUAGGGAAGAACAAAUGUGUAAGUAACUAUGCACGUCUUGACGGUACCUAAUCAGAAAGCCACGGCUAACUACGUG